rnacentral:tRNA from 1 species
GGUUAGCUCAAUUGGAUAGAGUACCGGUCUUCGGAACCGAGGGUACGGGUUCAAAUCCUGUACGG